UGCAAGUCGAACGUGAAAGUUUUCUUCGGAAAGCGGGUAGAGUGGCGCACGGGUGAGUAACGCGUAAGUAAUCUACCCUGGUAUCUGGGAUAACUAACCGAAAGGUUGGCUAAUACCGGAUACGCUGAUUUAUCAGGAAAGGUGGCCUCUUCAUGAAAGCUACUGUACCAGGAGGAGCUUGCGUACCAUUAGCUAGUUGGUAGGGUAAUGGCCUACCAAGGCGACGAUGGUUAGCGGGUCUGAGAGGAUAAUCCGCCACACUGGAACUGGAACACGGACCAGACUCC
rnacentral:rRNA from 1 species